AUCCAUACUCACACCACCCAUACCAUUCAUAUACACACACUCGACCUCACGUUCAAUCAAUCAGUUGUACAGUAAGACAGACACAUAUACAUUUUUUGUUCUCUACUAGCAUGAGAUAGGAGAAUUCCGUGAACUUUGCCCUCUGCCGUACCUGACAUUCUGCAAUCAGCAAUCUAGGGGUUGCAUCCCCAGAAGAAAAUGCAGACAGCGAUGUACAAACUAAAUGAAUGGAGUGGAUGUGCCCAAGCCGACGGUCGUGGAGAGAUUUUAUUCAGAUUUCAUCAAACAGCUGAGGACAUUCUGGAAGUUAUCAUAGAUCAGUUUAUUUGAUCUAUUUUGUACUUGGAAUUCAAACGUAAUAUCCCAUAACUACAAGAAGAAGGCAAGAAUAAGUGACGCCAGAAUGUACCAGAGCUUGGCCUUAACCUCAAAUCAGUCUCCAUAUGCGCACGACACUGGAAACUACAUCCACGCCUCGGCCGGUUCUCCGGUUUACGUGCCCACCACCCGUGUACCUGCCAUGUUACAGACUCUGCCGUACUUGCAGACGUGCGACUCUGCUCAUCAGUCGCAUGGCCUCGGAGGGCACCAUGGCUGGCCUCAGACUGGCACGGAUAGUUCGUCAUUCAACCCAGGCAGGCCGCACCCACCCCCCGAGUUCUCCUACGCACACAGUCCCCCUGUGAGCAGCAGUACUGGCAGAGAUGCAACAUACCAGAGCCCGCUCGUUCUGAGUAACGGCGGAAGGGCUGAUCAGUACAGCAGUUCUCUGGUGCGCUCAGUCGGAGGGUCCUACUCGAGCCCCUAUGCGGCGUACAUGAGCCCGGAGAUGGCGACUUCUUGGACACCUGGACACUUCGAGAGCGGCAUGAUCAGCCUCCAGGGAAGGCACGGAGCUCUUCAGGGAAGGAGGUCCAGCAUGGAAAUGUUGGAUGAGAUACCGGGUGAGGGGCGCGAGUGCGUGAACUGCGGUUCGAUUUCCACCCCUCUGUGGCGGCGAGAUGGCACCGGACAUUACCUGUGCAACGCUUGUGGUCUGUACCAUAAAAUGAACGGCAUCAACCGGCCACUGAUCAAACCACAGAAACGCCUGCAAACCACCUCCAGGCGAGCUGGACUUUGCUGCACCAACUGCCACACCAGCACCACAACGCUAUGGCGUCGUAACGCAGAGGGAGAGCCCGUCUGCAACGCCUGUGGCCUCUACAUGAAGCUGCAUGGGGUCCCAAGACCACUAGCAAUGAAGAAGGAGAGCAUUCAGACCAGGAAGAGGAAGCCCAAAAUGGCCAAAUCUAAAACAUCAUCAGGUAACAGACUGCGGGUCGCCUCAAAAUGGUUUCUUAAUGCAGUUUAGUGUUAGUGCCCUACUUCCAUCCAGUACAUGCACAGUAUAACAUGCUAAACGAAAUGCAUCAGAACACCUAUGAUCCAUGUCAACACAUGCUUGAUUCAGUCCACCCCUUAAUAAUGUCUUGCCUUAAUGUUCCAAACAAACCUAAAGAAGUUGGGUAUUGCUCUUAUAUAACAUUUCUGUAUUUAUUAGCUUGAAAUACAACAGAAGGAACUCUUAAGAUAAAUCAGUAGGUAAAUAAUAAAUAAAUACUUCACUAAUUUAAUUCUCAAAGUAAAGGCUAACUCUUUGCAAGGGAUUGCAUCAGAUAUUUAAUCAAUAUAAUUCUGGAAAACUGUUUAGUUUUUGACUCCAGAAAAGUUGUUAGGAGCGUAUUAGCCAAGAAGUAGGAACCUCCAGAAAUGCCAAUGCAUAACACCUACAACUUCUAAAUCAAUCAUCAUUUAGCUGACUGCACAGAUAGAUCAAGGUUCCUCUUCCAGGGGCCAAAGUAACAGAGCUCUUGUGAAAGUCCAUCUGGCUAGGCAGCGUCUAACUCUUGUUGGUGUUCGACAGGAUCUGCCUCUGGCACCAGCUCCCCCUCCUCCAUGUCAGUCUCAGAAAGUGCUUCCACUAUUAAGAGUGAGCCCAACAUGGCCCCUUCACCCUAUGCUGGACAGACCAUGGUUUCUGUCUCUCAGGCAUCAUCACAGCUGGACAGUAUGACCUCCGGACAUACAGACAUCAAGUAUGAGGAUUACCACUUCACACCCACAUCAAUGGCCCCUCAGAAUUCCUGGUGCGCCUUGUCCCUGGCAUGAUCCCACAAAAUCAACACUCAGUUCUGGAACAUCCACUCUACCCAGGGUGUUCUGGAUAUGGACUUAUGACGAGAACUACCUAUUACUGACUGUGUCUUUCCCAGAGGGAGAACAGGAAACAAGAAGGAAUUAUGGCAAUUUAUUUGGAAAAUUUGAAGUAAGAAUACACAUUUGUAUUGACAAUUACCAAAUCUUUUUAUCAUUGUUGUUGGUGCCUGUGGUAUGUGCAUUUGGUACAUGGCUUUGCAAAGACACUCAGCAUCACAGCAAGUUAUUACAGUGUGAUAAUACAAAAAAGUGCAAUGAGGGAAAAACUGUUUAUUACCUCUUAACCUGCUUCAUUAUUCAAAUGUAAAUAAUUAUAAUUGUAAAGAUAUAUUUAUGUUGAGAUAAGGGCAGUCAAGACAUAAAGAUGUUGGAGUGUCAUAUUCCAUGAUUGUAUUUAAACUUGCUUAGAGAAGUUUCAAGCAGUCAAGGAGAAGAUUCUGAAAGAAUAGCUUUUGCUGAUUAAUUUUAUUCUUAACAAUUUAUCCAGCAAUUUUAAGUGCAAUGACUAUCUUUUCAGGAAUAAAGUGAAAAGGGGCAAGAUUAAUAAUAGAUACAUGUUUUUAUUUGGAAUAUGUUAACCUAAAUUCAUUUGCUGCAUUAUAUUGGACUGCUUUUUUUGCUUAAAAAAGUCUGAAGAUCUUGGAUCUGGGUUCAAGAAUGUCUGCCUCUCUGACUGCCUCUCUUGUUUGUUUGCAAUGCUCUUUAAAAUCUGUUUAGGUAAAUAAAUAAAUUAAUAAACCGUA